rnacentral:rRNA from 1 species
ACGGGGCCCGCACAAGCGGUGGAGCAUGUGGUUUAAUUCGACGCAACGCGAAGAACCUUACCAGGGCUUGACAUCCCCUGACCGCGUAUGAAAGUACGUUUUCACCCUCGGGUGACAGGGAGACAGGUGCUGCAUGGCUGUCGUCAGCUCGUGUCGUGAGAUGUUGGGUUAAGUCCCGCAACGAGCGCAACCCUUGUCUUUAGUUGCCAGCAUUCAGUUGGGCACUCUAAAGAGACUGCCGGUGUCAAACUGGAGGAAGGUGGGAUGACGUCAAGUCAUCAUGGCCCUUACGACCAGGGCUACACACGUGCUACAAUGGCGCAUACAAAGAGAAGCGAUCUCGCGAGAGCAAGCGGACCUCAUAAAGUGCGUCGUAGUCCGGAUUGGAGUCUGCAACUCGACUCCAUGAAGUCGGAAUCGCUAGUAAUCGUGGAUCAGAAUGCCACGGUGAAUACGUUCCCGGGCCUU